rnacentral:lncRNA from 1 species
UGAAUACCUGUAUUUUUAUUCUUUCACGUUUUCUGCAGAAUGUACCCACAGAGUGAGCAUCGGUCACUAAUCUUAGGAAGUGUUUCAUUGAUAAUCCUUCUGCAGAGAUCCUUUCAUUUCAUUUCUGUUACUUGGAAUAGCUCGUUUGCUAGACAUUGUGGAUCUUCAGGUGUAAGAGUGCUGAAAAAGGUUUGUAUCAAGUAACUCAAAUACUUCUUCAAAACCUAAGGCAAUACUCAGUACUAUCAUACAGGCUGUUGAGGAAAUAAAAAGAUUUAUUGAAUUUGAAAGACUGUUUGC